UAGUCCACGCCGUAAACUAUGGAUGCUAGCUGUAAGAGGUAUCGACCCCUUUUGUAGCGAAGCUAACGCGUUAAGCAUCCCGCCUGUGGAGUACGAGCGCAAGCUUAAAACAUAAAGGAAUUGACGGGGACCCGCACAAGCGGUGGAGCGUGCUGUUUAAUUCGACGAUAAGCGAAGAACCUUACCGGGGUUUGACAUAUUUACUAAUCCCUGUGAAAGCAAGGAGUGCCUUCGGGCCGUAUAUACAGGUGCUGCAUGGCCGUCGUCAGCUCGUGUCGUGAGAUGUUGGGUUAAGUCCCGCAACGAGCGCAACCCCUAUGUUUAGUUGUAUUUUUUCUAGACAGACUGCAUUGGUAACAAGGAGGAAGGAGGGGAUGAUGUCAGGUCAGUAUUGCCCUUACACCCUGGGGCUACAAGCACGCUACAAUGGGCCGGUAC
rnacentral:rRNA from 1 species